AGUGAACGCUGGCGGUAGGCCUAACACAUGCAAGUCGAACGGCAGCACAGUAAGAGCUUGCUCUUACGGGUGGCGAGUGGCGGACGGGUGAGGAAUACAUCGGCAUCUACUUUUUCGUGGGGGAUAACGUAGGGAAACUUACGCUAAUACCGCAUACGACCUACGGGUGAAAGCAGGGGAUCUUCGGACCUUGCGCGAUUGGAUGAGCCGAUGUCGGAUUAGCUAGUUGGCGGGGUAACGGCCCACCAAGGCGACGAUCCGUAGCUGGUCUGAGAGGAUGGUCAGCCACACUGGAACUGAGACACGGUCCAGACUCCUACGGGAGGCCGCAGUGGGGAAUAUUGGACGAUGGGCGCAAGCCUGAUCCAGCCAUACCGCGUGGGUCAAGAAGGCCUUCGGGUUGUAAAGCCCUUUUGUUGUGAAAGAAAAGCAGCAGGUUAAUACCCCGCUGUUCUGACGGUACCCAAAGAAUAAGCACCGGCUAACUUCGUG
rnacentral:rRNA from 1 species